CUACGGGGGGGGGCAAGCGUUGUUCGGAAUUACUGGGCGUAAAGGGCUCGUAGGCGGCCAACUAAGUCAGACGUGAAAUCCCUCGGCUUAACCGGGGAACUGCGUCUGAUACUGGAUGGCUUGAGUUCGGGAGAGGGAUGCGGAAUUCCAGGUGUAGCGGUGAAAUGCGUAGAUAUCUGGAGGAACACCGGUGGCGAAGGCGGCAUCCUGGACCGAUACUGACGCUGAGGAGCGAAAGCCAGGGGAGCAAACGGG
rnacentral:rRNA from 1 species